GGACUUAAGGCUCAGUGGUAGAGCACUGCUUAGCAGGCAUGAGACCCUAGGUUCAAUUCCUAGUACUUCAA
rnacentral:tRNA from 1 species